AGAACUAUGCACCUUAUUGCAGGGUUUAAAACACCAGUUCUGAGGACUUCUAAGGCUACCAACUUCCAAGGAAGCAACUGUUCCACCUGAUCACACCCUCAUUAUCUGCAGGACCGUUCCUUCUGGAGAGAGAAUGCCUGAAGUCAGAAACUGUAAUUUUUGUGUGACAUCACUACAGAAAAAAGGAAAGUGAACACAGUUUGAUGGCAGACAAGGGUGAAUACAUACCUUCAGCUUCUUUUGGGAGAUUUAAUUCCUUUUAGUUUUAAUUGUUCAUUAACACAUUCCCUAUUAACUAGAAGACAUGUUUAAAUCACUGCUAAAACAAACUGAAUUGUUCACUGCUACUGUUCCUAGGUGGAUUUACAGCAAUGGUUUCACAAGUCCUGAAUUUCAAGAGACUUACAGCAAGGGAGCUGGGAAGAAGAUACAAAAGAUAUUAAACAUUCUUCUAAGUAGUGGUAAUUGUGAAAUUUUAUUUCACUUUUUCAAGUCACAGAAGGAAGUAGAAAAUAGAGACAAAGUGUUGGAUGUAAAUAACUGACAACAGAUGCAAAGCAACUGAACAAGAUUAAAAAAUAUCUGCUACCUUAAAUUAAUACAUUUUACAUGAGAAAACAAUUGGUACAAAGGCUUAAUUAGAACCACGAUUUUCAAGGUCAGGCACAGACACUUCCCUAGUCCCUCAAAAGUCUCAAGCCUCAAAAGAAUAUUCAGGUGGAAACGGUAUCAAUCCUGAACAAUGGUACCCUGUAAAUGGACUUCAUGCUUUCCUAACUUCUGCCAUGAAAUAGCUGAAAAAAUGAAUUUGAAAAAUGCUGAUUCGAGGUAUAUUCCACCCAUUCCACACUGCUAUUUAAUAAAAAGAAAAAAAUUAUUAUCAUCCAACCUGACUUUUAGCCACCUCCUCAUCCCUAAAAGUUUGGUCUCCUGAAUCACUAAUUGAGAAUCAAUGAUUCAAGGUUUUAGUAUCAAAUUAGUAGUUUUACUGGAAUAUGAACAUUUAACUUUACAAUAAAAUACACUGUACUAGAAGGUUCAUUCAAAUCUAGGUAAUUUCAGUUACAUUCCUAUGGCUUUGAGCAAAAAAGAAGAAAAACCCAAGCAGUUUUACUGUAUGUACACAAUAUUGAACAUCAAGAUUUAAAUUAUUUAUUAAUAACCUACAUUCACUGUGGAUUUCUAAGAUUUACAUCCAAAAAGCAUAUCUUAUUUACAUGCUGCUGACAUCUUAAAGAAAAAGAAAUAAAAUAUCAUCUGUUUAGGAACUACAUCUAUUCCAAAAUUUAAAAAGAUACAUUUAACACCACAAAACAUUUUAAACAUUUACAAUAAAAAACAGCUUUCUGUGCCAAUCAUACUUACUCUCCAAGAAUGCAAAAUUGCACUAACUAAAAUCAGACUAGAAACACUUAAGACCUGAGAGUCAAAUCUAAACCUUUUUUUUUAAAGAAAAUCCUGCAAGUUAAUAUGCCCUUAUGUUAAUUUAAACACAGACUGGUCAGUGGUCAAUUAAAAAAAAAACCAAAAAACCAAAACCAACACCAAAAACAACCCCCAGAAACCCCAGUGCAUUAUUUCUGCAUCUCCAAAAAUAGAUCACUAUAAAUUUGUUGCAGUAGCUUGAUAAGUGCCAGGCCUGCCAGAUGCAGUAAGGCUUAUUUCAAAGUGUCCUUUCCCACACACUGUACCCUAAUCAAAUAAUGAGUGUCUUUAAUCAGUUCCUGUGAGGAUUCCCACAUUUAUGUAAGCAUGCAGUCGCUUAAGUAUGCAUCUUGGAUUUUUGAGGGUUCCCACUCCAAGCAUACAUACACAGGUGUUUUAAUAGCUAAAAAUCAGAGUAAAAAUAAACAAAAGGAGAAAGUUAGAAAUACUGGCCAGAAACUUUUGAAGUCUAAUGAGAAGGUUUAUAUCCGCUCCAAGGGUUUUUCAAACUCAGCAGAGCUCGGGAGCAUCAUGCACUGUAUUAGUAACCAUCAUGUACCUUAUAUAAAAUAAUAAUAACAAAAAAAAUGGUUGUACUAACAAGUAUACUUUACUGCACUGCAGGAUGUAAAAGAGGUACCACACCUAUAAAGCCCAGGGCAGAGAAGCAUCAUGCAAAAAUUACUCCAUUUGGUAGCAGCCAUUUUAUUUCUGCACUUGGAAACAUCAUGUUCCUUUUUGAGUGCAAAAGCUUUCCCCUCCCUACCGGUAUCCUCUAGAAACUGCUUGACCAAGAGCAUCUCCCAGGAGAGGGUUGAGAAGGCCAUGAUUUUCUCACUCUGGAGCUAUUUCCCAUGGCUUUAGCAGUUUGCCCUUCUCAUGCAGAUGGCUGGCACUGCAGUAGUGGUCCUUCCAGGCUGAAAGCAGGCAAACUGCAAUCCAUCAGCCUACACAGGCAGCCUUGCUUUGCAGACUUUCCACCACGUUGCAUCCAACCCUGUUAACAUUUCCCAGCACCCAGAAACCCGAGUGACACCAAUUCCAUUCACCAAAGCAAACGUGAAUAUCUGUUAAUUCCAAACAAAGUUAGUCCUGCCCUUCCCAAGGAGCGACCUUUGCUAUUUAAGCAAUUCAUUAUAAAUUUAGAGCAUUUCAUUAGAGCUUCAAACCUGACUGCACUAUUGGCAACAUAUUCACAUCUGCUUAUGCCGCUUCAUCCUAUUUUGCAA